CUCUUGAUCUGAAAUCAGGCGGGAUACCCGCUGAACUUA
rnacentral:rRNA from 1 species